CCACCAUCGCUCUUCUGCUUCCUAGGGUUUCCACUUCCGUUGCUGUCCUUGAUACUGUUGCUGAUGUGCUAUUUGGGAAGACCAGGCAUUUAUACCCCAAACAGGUCAUAAGGGGACCACUGCCUUCCGAAUGAAUAUGAGUAUCUUCAUGGAAAAAAUAUUUUGAGAGGAAAAAAAGAACUUUGGCUGGGUGUGCGGAAUGGAGAACCCUUUGUUCUAUUAUUUAUGGAGGCAUCACAGAACAGCCGGUUGGAGCUAAGGAGGAAGCACCAAAAUAAUAUACCAGGCUAACCAAUCAGAAGGCCAUGGUCCCCCUUGGCUGCCUGUUUAUCCAGACACCGGAAGAAUUACUCAAGACCUAACUUUCUUUUUAUUGCACUUCUUAGGAGUACCAGGUCCAACCAUUGGCCCGUCCAGCUCCGGUCCCAUGGGGAUCACAUACGUGUGAGUACAAAGCGACAUUUUAUUGACUUAUUCUUAUUUUUUUAAAUUUUAUUUGUUUUUAA